ensembl:processed_transcript
CCGAAAAUGAACGCUCCUUGUGGAUCAUCUGGAUGAAACACCAGGUGCCUGGACAGUACUGCACGAACUUCCCAAAACCAGCAAAGGGGAGCGCACAGAAAGCCAAGCAGAAGGCGGCCACGACCGGUGCCACCAGCACUCCCCGGCGCAAGGUGACGUGCCUUUGGUAGAAGAAGGGGUGUCCCAGAGACAGCCAGCACUCCACCGCCAUAGCCAACAGCUGUAAGGUCGAGGCUAGCCCAAAGAAGGACAUCAGGAAGGCGAACGUUUCGCAUAACUGAUUGCCUGAGGCAGGCAGCAGUUCCUUUAGGCUCUGGUUUUGCGCGUAGGCAGCCAGGACCAUCGGGCUGAUCAGACACUUGCCCAGCAAGUCGGUGACCGUCAAGCCACACACGAGCACAUAAAAGACCGAGGGCGGCGGGUGUAGUGGCCCUGGCCGGCAAGACCCCAGUCCCGAGCGCGCCAGCAGCACCAGCGCCAGAAGAUUGCCCAGAAGCCCCGCACCGAAGAGCACAGCGCCCAUCGUCGCCGAGGAGCCCCUUUCCACCCAGGUGGAUGUCUGACAGCGAUAGGACUCGUUCAUAGCCCUUGUCCCGUCUGACUGGAAGAAAGGCUGCAGCCAGGCCCGCUGUGAAGGAGCCCCAGGCUGCUCAGGGCGCAGCUAAGGCACAGAGGUUGUGCAGCAGAGAGAGCUCCACUGGUGGCUGGGUGUUAUUCACAGUCAGCCCUCCUAUCUAGGCUCCUCAGUCACACCCUUGAGGAAGGCAGGACUCCACCCCUGUCUGCCUGCAGACACCUGAGCAGACACAGGUGAGACCUGAGACCUCAAAAGCAAACAUUCACAGAAAGUAUAUGAUGGGCCAAACCUGGAAACUGGAGGAGAGACAGGAGCAUGUUGUUCUCUGAGAGGCUCCACCCAGCAACUGACUCAAACAGAUACAGACACCCACAGCCAAACAGUGGAUGGAGCUUGUGGACUCUUAAGAAGAAUAGGAGGAAGGAUUUCAGGGCCCAAAGGGGAUAGGAACUCCACAAGAAGACUAACAGAGUCAACUCACCUGGACCCUUGGGUCUCUCAGAGUCUGAGCCAUCAACCAAAGAACAUACACAGGCUGCACCUAGGCCUCCCAGAUGUGUAGCAGAUGUGCAGCUUGGUCUUCAUGUGAGUCCUAAAAAAUCUGGAGUAUUAGCUAUCCCAAAAGUUGUUGCUAGUAAGUGAGAUAUGUUCUACUAGCUAAGCUGCCUUGUCUGGCCUCAAAGAGACUUGCAGUGCCAGGGUAGGGGGCAUACACAGGCUCUCCCUCCACUCUGAGAAGAAGGGGAGGGGGAGGGAUUAUGGGAGGAGUUAACUGAAAGGAGGAGCAGUGAACAGGGUGUAAAGUGAGUAUGUAAAAAACAGUAAAAUUGAAUAAAAGAUUCCAGUGUAGCUUUCAUCAAUACUCAGCUGGAUCUCCUCAGAAUCUAUAAAGCUGAGAGUCAACCUCUGUGCAGGAUGAAAGUCACCACACAGCCUCUGGAUAAUUUUCAGUUGGCAUAUUGUAUACACUUUUUUAGCUGAUUUCACAUUAUCUAACAACACUCCACAUAGCCCUUGAACAUCAUAAUAUCUAGUUUGCCAGCUAAAUGAUAUAUAGUUCCUAUUGGCCACAGGCUUAUCAUUAUGUGUGAGUUUCUUUGAGGCCCUAAUGGAUAGUGCCUGAAAACCUAUCACUCACUUCUGGCAUAAUAUUCACAGCGUUUCAUGCAAAGCCUUUGAUCUGUGAUAAAAAAUAAAGUCCAUAGCAGG